rnacentral:lncRNA from 1 species
GGUUUGGCGAUAUCUGGCCACAGCUUUUAUUCAUAAUAUGAUAGAUUCAUAUAAUAUAUAAUAUAUAUAUAUAUAUAGAUAGAUAGACCAUAGAUGUAUAUGUAUAUGUAGAUAGAUCUAUGGUCGGUUACCCGAAGAUAAUAUGGCAACCAGAUAGAUAGAUAGAUAGAUAUAUAUGAAAAUGUAAAGAUGCACCGUGGGAUACACUGGUGCUUUAAAUUUAGAAAACACCGUGGGAUACACAAGUGUAGUCUGUAUUAUCCAAAAACCUAAAAUUUCAUAGUUAACAUUAAGAUUCUAUGCAGCGAAUUCUGCCAUUUACGGGAAUAUAUUUAUGAUGCUCAAAGUUCAAAUAAAAGUCACUUUUCUCAACAGCAAACAAGUUAACAUCAUCAGUCAAAUCUGUAUCACCACUGUCACCGACACAAACCUGAAAAAUAAAUACAAAAGAGCAGUAUCUUGUUACAAUAAAAAGGAGUGGGAGGGCGGGUUUUCAAGUUUACCGCUUACGAAAUUUAAACAGCUUGCUUGCUGCGAUGAAAUUCUAAAAAGGACUAAAUGACGUCACAGAAUAUAACGUCACUCAUGUUGGGUAAAUCUAAAACAUGAAACACAAUCCGUGAGUGGCCCCGGCGAUAACUGAAUUUAAGUCUAUUAACUUAAAUUCCAUUAUCUCAGAUGGUGCCAUUAAAACAAAAUACAUAUAUGGUUUGGCGAUAUCUGGCCACAGCUUUUAUUCAUAAUAUGAUAGAUUCAUAUAAUAUAUAAUAUAUAAUAUAUAUAGAUAGAUAGAUAGACCAUAGAUGUAUAUGUAUAUGUAGAUAGAUCUAUGGUCGGUUACCCGAAGAUAAUAUGGCAACCAGAUAGAUAGAUAGAUAGAUAUAUAUGAAAAUGUAAAGAUGCACCGUGGGAUACACUGGUGCUUUAAAUUUAGAAAACACCGUGGGAUACACAAGUGUAGUCUGUAUUAUCCAAAAACCUAAAAUUUCAUAGUUAACAUUAAGAUUCUAUGCAGCGAAUUCUGCCACAUUGACGGAGGAAAACAGAGACUCUGUCAACCGCCAUAAAAAGGGCGGUUCGCUGCAAAGCUGUGAACCAGAUAUGAGAUAACUACAGAUAUAUAGAUAGAUAGAUAUUUUUAUUUAACGUACAACUUGGUACUAUAUUAAAUAAUCUAGAUAGAUAGAUAGAUAUUUUAUUUAACGUACAAAUUGGUACAUAUAUAUAUUAAAUAAUCUAGAUAGAUAGAUAGAUAUUUUAUUUAACGUACAACUUGGUACAUAUAUAUGAUCAAUAUUCUAGAUAGCUGGAUAGAUAUUUUUAUUUAAAGUACAACUUGGUACAUAUAUAUAUUAAAUAAUCUAGAUGAUGUUUUGUGAACAACUGUUCAAAACAUAUUUACCUACACAGAUAAAAAUACUUACCAAAACUACAGCAAACCAUAAGAUAGUUGAUUGUAUUUGUAUAUCAUAAAAUAUAGUAUAUUAUAGUAUAUCAACAAAUAAUAUUAAAGAUGUUUAAGAAUUCAUUUCAUAAGCAGGUUAAGGGUGACAAGUGAAAAACAUCCAGUUGAAAAAUUUCUGGUCUGAUCGAAAAUCAUAAUAUUUUAUGUAGCAACCCUGACAGCUAAUUAUAAAGGCAAUAAAUAGUUGUAAAUUCUAUAGCAGCACACGUCCAUGUUUGCAUUGGUCAAAUUUGAGACCAUCCUUACUUAAGAAUGAUGAAUCUCACAAUCCAUCUGAUCAUGUUCUUCAUCUCAUUGUGCAAAGACCCACUCUAGAACUACCUGUGUCAUUACCUGCUACAAGUUUAUUAAAAAUAUGUUGGAUCCUCAUAGUUUCAUUAUAUAUUCUGAGUUAACUUUUAACAUGCGACAAAAUUGCCACCACAAAAAUUCAUUUCCGUGCCUAGACCUAAGUCAACCCCAUCUGGAGGAUGUCAGUCUGCUACAAAAACAUACUUACUAUUGAGGAUUCUACUAUUCAAACAUCAAACAUUAAAUCUAAUAGGAUCUCCUACAAUUCUUGUACGGCAAAUAGCUACAUGGAAGUAUAUGUUACAUAGUAAUACGAAUACAAUUUAAAGCAUAAUAAAUCAAGAAAAAUAAUAAUUCUCUGUAAAACCCUGUAUUAAGUGUCAGUAUUGGAUCUCCAACCCUUUUAAUAAUCGUCCACAAACAAUUGAAAGGACAGCUUCAAAUACACUGAAUUCAUACCAAGUAUAACCAACACAAGAUAAGAAAAUAUUGCUAGACUUCAGCAUGACUAUGGUUGUGGUAAAUGUAAAGGCCUGGAGUGUUUAAUACCUUCUUAAAAACUCAAACCUCAAUUUUGACACAUCAUUAAAUUACUAAAAAAAAAAUAUCCAAUCUUAGUAAAUUAGUAAUGUCACAAUUUUUGUUGAGAGAGAUACAAAAUGUACAAGUAAGCAAUACCUUAACAAUUCAUAAAGAGAUAGGAAAUGUAUUCAAUAAAUCAACUAGAGAACCGAACUCAUGAAAAAAAAGAAAGACUGUCCUCUCUGAUACAUCUGUAUGUACUGGGUGGUGUGGAACUUACAAAUAAACGGUUACUAAAGGUCUGAAAUAACAGUAAUAAAUUCACUUGGGGUAAUAGCAGGAUAAACAUCUGCAGUUUGGACCAAGCAUCUGAAGCAAUCCCUCUAAAAACCAGAAAUGGCUUCAGUCAUAAUGAAAAUUUGGACCAGAUCAGUGAUAAUGAAUGUCAUACUAAACUCUAAUCUAAAAAAAAAAACAAAAAAAAAAAGUUCAUACCAAACUUACAUAGGCCAGAGGCCCCAGACUUGGAACAGAUACUAAAAUGCCGAGGGGUUAAACAAGUUUUUUAAAAUCUCAACCAAAUGAAGAAGAAACAAACGCACAGCAAUACGCAUAGAAAAAAUCACACAGUUUAAAGAAGUCAGAGUCCAAUAUCAGAAUAGGUAACAAAUCAAACAAAAACAAAAAAUUGAAAAUGACGAUAUUACAUAAAUCAACAACGGACUACUAACAGUUACCAACAUGCCAGCUCCAGACCUCAAUUUAACUGGUCGAAAAACUAUGUAUUCAAUAUACGAAAUAUCUAGCACCAUCCCGUCAUGGGGGUUUAAUAUCAUAUCAUCAUAAAAUAUAUUAGAGAAACAUAACUCUUAUCAUACCUGCAACUGGUUUAAAAAUAAAGGAGUUUUAGUCCGAUGCAAAGAUGUGCAAGUGAAUCAAUAUUGAAGCCAAAAUAAGCCGUAUAUAUGCAGGCAACAGUAUCCCUACUUUAUAUAAGUUGCUUUUAUGUUUUGUUAGUUUUUGAGGUAAAAGCUGACAUUUGUCCGUUGUAAAGUGUAUUACCAUAAAAGAUUGGAUGGUCAAUACCUGAAUGUGUAAGAUGUCUAUGUAGAGGGAAAUUCUUAUAAUGUAAACGCCCAUAAAUACAAAGCAAGAAUAACUGGAUCAACUCAGGCAAACGCAAAUUAAAAGAAUGACUAUGAGAACCCUAUACUAGAGUCUAAAUCCAUGUAAGCAGAAACAAACAUUUAGUAUAACAGCAGCAACCACUCGUUCUCUCUCUCGUCUUGGGUUUGAACCAGGUUGCCCAAAAAAACACUUAUUUCCAUUAAAGGACUAGGUGAUUUGAACUUGGAUAUCACAAGAAGGCCUAGAUUAUGCAAAGUAAACAUGGUUAAAGUUACCUGUUAGGACAUCCAAAAGUUAUAAAGGAUGACCCGUGUUACACAAAAAAACAAAACACAAACAAGUGCUUAACAACAUCUAGAUACCCUCAUAAUUUAAAAAGCAUAACAUUUCAAAUAGUCCCAGCGUUCAUGCUAACUGAAAUUCAACCUGUACUAUAAUUUUCAUUAGUAAAUAACAACCAUAAUUUGGAAUCAACUGUUGCCAAGCAACCAGUAGGGCCAAAGAUUUUAUGCAAAUGAAAAGUUCCUCAUAAACUUCCAGCCUAAAAAACAAACUGGCACCUAAACAUACAGCGUACGAUACUCAUAAAUUGCGCAACUCCUAGAAUCUCCCAGGAUGAAGAUUACAAUACAUUCUAGUAUAUAUAUAAAUUAAAGCUGCUGUCGACACCUAAAUACUAAAGAUUUUUAACGGUGGAGCAGACUGCAAAACAAGCUGUAAAUAAUUACUUAGUUUGUACUAGAUUAGCUAAUAUUACAUGUACAUGUACAUACAUGAAUGUAUAUAU